AUUGAACGCUGGCGGCAUGCUUUACACAUGCAAGUCGAACGGCAGCGCGGGCUUCGGCCUGGCGGCGAGUGGCGAACGGGUGAGUAAUGCAUCGGAACGUGCCCAGUAGUGGGGGAUAGCCCCGCGAAAGCCGGAUUAAUACCGCAUACGACCUGAGGGUGAAAGCGGGGGACCGAAAGGCCUCGCGCUAUUGGAGCGGCCGAUGUCGGAUUAGCUAGUUGGUGGGGUAAAGGCUUACCAAGGCGACGAUCCGUAGCUGGUCUGAGAGGACGACCAGCCACACUGGGACUGAGACACGGCCCAGACUCCUACGGGAGGCAGCAGUGGGGAAUUUUGGACAAUGGGGGCAACCCUGAUCCAGCCAUGCCGCGUGCGGGAAGAAGGCCUUCGGGUUGUAAACCGCUUUUGUUCGGGAAGAAAUCCUCUGGGCUAAUACCCCGGGGGGAUGACGGUACCGGAAGAAUAAGCACCGGCUAACUACGUG
rnacentral:rRNA from 1 species